CUACGGGUCGCUGCAGUGGGGAAUAUUGGACAAUGGGCGCAAGCCUGAUCCAGCAAUACCGCGUGUGUGAAGAAGGCCUGCGGGUUGUAAAGCACUUUCAAUUGUGAAGAAAAGCCUGGGGUUAAUACCCUCGGGUCUUGACGUUAACUUUAGAAGAAGCACCGGCUAACUCCGUGCCAGCAGCCGCGGUAAUACGGAGGGUGCGAGCGUUAAUCGGAAUUACUGGGCGUAAAGCGUGCGUAGGCGGCUAGGUCAGUCAGAUGUGAAAGCCCCGGGCUUAACCUGGGAACUGCAUUUGAUACUGCCUGGCUCGAGUAUGGUAGAGGGAAGUGGAAUUCCGGGUGUAGCGGUGAAAUGCGUAGAUAUCCGGAGGAACACCAGUGGCGAAGGCGACUUCCUGGACCAAUACUGACGCUGAGGUACGAAAGCGUGGGUAGCAAACAGGAUUAGAUACCCGCGUAGUC
rnacentral:rRNA from 1 species